GACGAACGCUGGCGGCGUGCUUAACACAUGCAAGUCGAACGGUAAGGCCCUUCGGGGUACACGAGUGGCGAACGGGUGAGUAACACGUGGGUAAUCUGCCCUGCACAUCGGGAUAAGCCUGGGAAACUGGGUCUAAUACCGAAUAGGACCACAGGACACAUGUCCUGUGGUGGAAAGCUUUUGCGGUGUGGGAUGGGCCCGCGGCCUAUCAGCUUGUUGGUGGGGUGAUGGCCUACCAAGGCGACGACGGGUAGCCGGCCUGAGAGGGUGUCCGGCCACACUGGGACUGAGAUACGGCCCAGACUCCUAUGGGAGGCAGCAGUGGGGAAUAUUGCACAAUGGGCGAAAGCCUGAUGCAGCGACGCCGCGUGGGGGAUGACGGCCUUCGGGUUGUAAACCUCUUUCACCAUCGACGAAGGUCCGGGUUUUCUCGGGCUGACGGUAGGUGGAGAAGAAGCACCGGCCAACUACGUG
rnacentral:rRNA from 1 species